UCAAAUCAAAAUUUUUCUUCGAGCUGUCAUGACACAGCCCGAACAUCCUCCCCCAGGCGUUGACUCAAGAUGAAGAAUUAUCCAAGACUGGGAGCGGUGCAAGUUUGUGUAUAGGACGCUUCACACCUGGUCCGGAUAUCAGCAACUCGAAUAAAUCCAUCCGUUCCAGAAUAAACCUUAUGGAUUACUCCCAGCUUCCAAACGUGAGAUGAAAUUGUUUCGAAGUACCUGCACGUACUGCCAUCGCGACAGCCUGUUGAUUGGGAUCUCCUCGUACGUUGGCUCCGGUAUUGCCGUUAAAGGACGACCGAUCAUAAAGUGACCAGGAGUCAGUGGUUCGGGGUCUGUAGCAUCUUCUGAAUGUGCAUACAGAGACCGUGAAUUCAGCAAGGCCUGAUUUGACAAAGCAGCGUCGAAAACUCCAUCAAGUUGAGUGAAGCAGUGUCAUAAAUCCUUUUCAAAAUUGAGUUGGUGCUCUUGACUCCUGCCUCCCAAAGGCCACCCAUAUGUGGCGAACUUGGUGGUAUCAUUCUCCAGCGCAUUUCACGUGGUUGGUAAAAUACAUUUAUCUUCCUUUUUGUUAUUUGCUCCUUGAACAGGUUGGACAACACAUGCAAUUCCCUCUUGGCGCCCACAAAAUUGGUUCCGUUGCAGAAAACAACUCCUCUGGAACACCCCUUUGGGAUACGAAUCUGUGCAGUGCAGCAAUGAACGCAUCCCAGGUCAGAUUCUCCACCACCUCCAAAUGAAUCCCCUUGGUCACCAUGCACACGAAUACGCAAACAUAUCCCUUUACCGGAGCAGCCUUUCUACUGGUUUGCUUGAUUAAAAAAGGGCCGGCAAAGUCCAACCCCACCUGUUGGAAUGCUGGAGCGCACAGACGGAAGGUCUCCCAUGAAUUUUUCUGCAGCAGUGGGAUUAACCUUGAAGCAUUUAACGGUUGCUAGCAAAGCAGUUGGUCCGAUGUGCAGAUUCUCGCGGUGGAUGCACCGCAUAUAACUUUGAACCACGGGGCUUCUAUUUGGCAAGAUCCACUGAUGCUUGCUCAGGUACGGUAAUUGCGAAUGGCGCAGACGACCACCAGCUCGCAAUAGCUCACCAUCAAAAAAGGGGUUCAAGGAUUUAAGCUUCUUGGAGGACUCACCUGAUUUCAUUCUCACGAUCUCUUCUGCAAACUCUUGACGCUGUACCACAAAUACUAUUACCUUCAUUGCAUCUUGCAUCUCAGGUAUAAUUGGAAAUGUCGAUAGCACACGCUUCUCCUUAAUUCUUUCUUUCUUGUAAACACAGGUAACAGUUCAAGUUCCACUGUGGUACUGACGAAAACCGUGGUCUUGAGUUCGGGAAUAUCUUCAUCUGGCAACGGUUCAGGAACAUCCAUUUGGCAUUCUUCACUUCUCAAAAACAUUGGUCCGUUCCACCACAGAUCACUUGUGGCCAAAAUUUCGGCAGAAAGCCCACGGGACACUAUAUCAGCAGGAUUUUCUGCAGUGUUCACAUACUUCCACGAAAAAUAAUUUCCGCUAGAAGUAAUCUCACCAACUCUAUUUCUUACAAACACUUCCAGCUGUUCGAGAUUUUUCUUCAGCCAGGCUAACACGAUUUGGCUGUCUAAACUCAACACUAUUUUCCGGAAGGGUAGUUUCAAAGUUUCCAACACUUUCUUCACUAGACGAUGCAACAACACAGCUGCCAAGAGUUCUUUUCGCGGAACCGUCAGUACUGGCUUCGGCACUAUCUUCAACUUUGCAGUCAAAAUCUUCACCUCAUGGGACUUUCCAAGAACAAUUGAUCUUAUGUAAACGCAUGCUCCGUAAGCUUCCAAGGACGCAUCUCCGAACCCAUUGAUCUCAAAGGCAGUAGCAUCAGAUGACACCACUCGACAAGGGAUUCGGAUCUUCUUCACACCACUUAAGCACUUCAAGAACAUCUUCCCAACGACAAUCACCGGUGCAGCUAACCCCAGAGGGUCGAACAUACUUGCAACUAACGACAGUACUUGGCGCUUCGUCGGCUUUGUUAUCUCAGGAAAUGGCUUUGCAACGAAGAUCAGUUCAUCCGAGGACGGGUUCCACAGCAGACCAAGUGUUUUGAUCACUUCGUUCACUCCAGUUCCUUUUAAUGUUCACCAAUUCUUCACGAUCAACUUCUGGUAUAUGCUCGACUAGAUCUGGACAGUUUGAAGCCCACUUGUGCAAAUGAAAUCCACCUGCCUCCAAGAGAUGGAUGAGCUGCGACUGUGCUUCUGCGACAUUAUCUACAUAAAAACAGUUCUUGACAAUUUUGGCUGCCAAUGGAAAAUUGUGCCCUUCAUCGAGUGC